GACGAACGCUGGCGGCGUGCCUAAUACAUGCAAGUCGAGCGGGGUUGUUUUGGAAGCUUGCUUCCGAAGCAACCUAGCGGCGGACGGGUGAGUAAUACGUAGGCAACCUGCCCCUCAGCCUGGGAUAACUAGCGGAAACGUUAGCUAAUACCGGAUAAUUUGCUUCAUCGCAUGAAGGAGCAAUGAAAGACGGAGCAAUCUGUCACUAAGGGAUGGGCCUACGGCGCAUUAGCUAGUUGGUAGGGUAAUGGCCUACCAAGGCGACGAUGCGUAGCCGACCUGAGAGGGUGAACGGCCACACUGGGACUGAGACACGGCCCAGACUCCUACGGGAGGCUG
rnacentral:rRNA from 1 species